GACGAACGCUGGCGGCGUGCCUAACACAUGCAAGUCGAGCGGAGACAGUGAGUAGCUUGCUAUGAGCUGUUUUAGCGGCGGACGGGUGAGUAACGCGUGAGCAGCCUUUCCCAGACAGGGGAAUAACACACCGAAAGGUGUACUAAUACCGCAUAAGACCACGGUUUCACAUGGAACUGAGGUAAAAGAUUUAUCGGUUUGGGGUGGGCUCGCGUCCGAUUAGGUAGUUGGUGAGGUAACGGCCCACCAAGCCGACGAUCGGUAGCCGACCUGAGAGGGUGAUCGGCCACAUUGGGACUGAGACACGGCCCAAACUCCUACGGGAGGCAGCAGUGGGGAAUAUUGGGCAAUGGAGGAAACUCUGACCCAGCAACGCCGCGUGGAGGAAGAAGGUUUUCGGAUCGUAAACUCCUGUC
rnacentral:rRNA from 1 species